rnacentral:rRNA from 1 species
UACGUAGGGACCGAGCGUUGUCCGGAAUCAUUGGGCGUAAAGAGCGUGUAGGCGGCCACUUAAGUCCUGCGUGAAAUCUUGCGGCUCAACCGCAAGCGGUCGUGGGAAACUGGGUGGCUAGAGUGCGGGAGAGGAGAGUGGAAUUCCUGGUGUAGCGGUGGAAUGCGCAGAUAUCAGGAAGAACACCCGUGGCGAAGGCGGGUCUCUGGGCCGUUACUGACGCUGAGGAGCGAAAGCGUGGGGAGCGAACAGG